CGAUCAGUAGGGGUUCUGAGAGGAAGGUCCCCCACAUUGGAACUGAGACACGGUCCAAACUCCUACGGGAGGCAGCAGUGAGGAAUAUUGGUCAAUGGGCGAGAGCCUGAACCAGCCAAGUAGCGUGCAGGAAGACGGCCCUAUGGGUUGUAAACUGCUUUUAUAAGGGAAUAAAGUGAGUCUCGUGAGACUUUUUGCAUGUACCUUAUGAAUAAGGACCGGCUAAUUCCGUGCCAGCAGCCGCGGUAAUACGGAAGGUCCGGGCGUUAUCCGGAUUUAUUGGGUUUAAAGGGAGCGUAGGCCGGAGAUUAAGCGUGUUGUGAGAUGUAGGCGCUCAACGUCUGCACUGCAGCGCGAACUGGUUUCCUUGAGUACGCACAAAGUGGGCGGAAUUCGUGGUGUAGCGGUGAAAUGCUUAGAUAUCACGAAGAACUCCGAUUGCGAAGGCAGCUCACUGGAGCGCAACUGACGCUGAAGCUCGAAAGUGCGGGUAUCGAACAGGAUUAGAUACCCUGGUAGUCCGCACGGUAAACGAUGGAUGCCCGCUGUUGGUCUGAACAGGUCAGCGGCCAAGCGAAAGCAUUAAGCAUCCCACCUGGGGAGUACGCCGGCAACGGUGAAACUCAAAGGAAUUGACGGGGGCCCGCACAAGCGGAGGAACAUGUGGUUUAAUUCGAUGAUACGCGAGGAACCUUACCCGGGCUUGAAUUGCAGAGGAAGGAUUUGGAGACAAUGACGCCCUUCGGGGUCUCUGUGAAGGUGCUGCAUGGUUGUCGUCAGCUCGUGCCGUGAGGUGUCGGCUUAAGUGCCAUAACGAGCGCAACCCCUCUCCUUAGUUGCCAUCAGGUUAAGCUGGGCACUCUGGGGACACUGCCACCGUAAGGUGUGAGGAAGGUGGGGAUGACGUCAAAUCAGCACGGCCCUUACGUCCGGGGCUACACACGUGUUACAAUGGCAGGUACAGAGAGACGGUCCCUUGCAAAACGGAUCAAAUCCUUAAAGCCUGUCUCAGUUCGGACUGGGGUCUGCAACCCGACCCCACGAAGCUGGAUUCGCUAGUAAUCGCGCAUCAGCCAUGGCGCGGUGAAUACGUUCCCGGGCCUUGUACACACCGCCCGUCAAGCCAUGAAAGCCGGGGGCGCCUAAAGUCCGUGACCGUAAGGAGCGGCCUAGGGCGAAACUGGUAAUUGGGGCUAAGUCGUAACAAGGUA
rnacentral:rRNA from 1 species